rnacentral:lncRNA from 1 species
GGAAAAGUAAUAGUCAAGUUCAGAAGAAAAUUCCCCUCGAUUGGUUGGGAAUAUGAAGGAGGUGUAGUAAGGUGAAUUGAAAUUUAGCAAAUUUCCUACAACUUUCAUAAAGGGACUUUUGAAAUAGCAGUUUGGAUUUUUGUCAUAAUUGGUCGUUGAAGUUUCUGCCAGCAAGGUUCAAAAGGAGAAAAUUUAGUUAAGCUGAAGUUCAAUGUCCAGAAAAGUUCAGAGACAUUUUUCACGAGGAAGGAGCGAGAUUCAGCCAAAAGU